CCCGGUCGCCGGGGAGUGCCAUGGCAGGGAGGCGGCAGCCACGUGAGGGGUCUGCGGAAGCGCCGGAGCUGAAAGCUGGGGGCGAAGCAUUUUAUUAAUGCUUUUACGAGUUAGAAGAGUUGGGAUAAUUUGCCAUCUGGAGUUUCUCUGCCUUGCUGAUCUGAGCUCAGACCUGCCAAUUUACCAGAGAUAAUUGAUAACACCCUGUAACAGCUGAGAGGAAAAUGGAAGAAACGGAGAUACUUUUAGUGAAGCAGAAUAAACCACUGAACAGAUGGAGUCUCACUCUGUUGCCCAGACUGGAAUGCAGUGGUGUGAUCUCAACUGACUGCAACCUCCGUAUCCUGGGUUCAAGCAACUCUCCUGCUGCAGCCACGAAAAAUGAGGAAGCUGUGAGUACCAGUGGAAGGAACGAGCCAGGAAGAGGGACUGGAACCAUCUCAGAAGCCAUGCCCCUCAGGCUGGAACUUGCCCUGUCUCCUCGCAGAUGAGCUACCUCUUGUGUUUAAGAAUUAAAGGAAGAUGAGCUAGGAAUCAAGAAAUACGCAGAACUGAUUCCUGUCACUGGCGCCACCCUGCCACUUGCCCAGAGCUGUGGUAUAAAUUUUUUUAAUAGGCUGAAAUAAAAAUAUGAAUAGCAUUUUGGUAUUAAGCAUUAAAUUGAUAAAGGCUAUGAGAUACACCUGCUCUCAACCAUGUUAAUUUUUUAUUAUUGGUAUUAAUAAAUUAUUACUUACUAACAUAUUAACAAGAAUUGCAUUGAGAAACAAAGCAUCCACAGGCCAAAUCUUCUGAAUUUCAAAUGUUUAUAUUAAUGCGUUGUAUUCUAGAAAAGUAGAAUUGUCUUAAGUAGCUUUGUAAUAUAAAGUCAUCUAUCAGCCCAUUACACCUAUUAGAAUGUUUUAACCUUUAUUUCCCACUUUUUUGUUUCUAGACUGAGUGUACUUGGUCUGGUAUUUGUGGCAUAACUUACGGAACACAUAAGAAUGAUACAGAUACUAUUUAAUGAUGACCUAAUACAAGCUUAGAUAGCUAAGGUGAAAGCUUCUAUGGCCUUAACAUUUUCCUCUUGAAGAAUGUAUUUUCUGUAAUAAAAUACAGUGGCUACUUGAAAUCUAUAAACUUAUGUGAGGUCUGGAUAAAUCUGAGCAACUUUCUUCUUUGUGCUCCAGGAACCUACGCACUAUAUAUAUAAAUAAAGCUUAAGUAAACAUCA
rnacentral:lncRNA from 1 species